rnacentral:rRNA from 1 species
CGAACGCGACUUAGGCUUCGGUCUAAGUUGAGUGGCGAACGGGUGAGUAACACGUGGGUGACCUACCUUCGAGUGGGGGAUAACGUCCCGAAAGGGACGCUAAUACCGCAUAACAUCCUGCCUUUGAACAGGUGGAGAUCAAAGCCGGGGAUCGCAAGACCUGGCGCUUGAUGAGGGGCCCGCGUCCGAUUAGCUAGUUGGUGAGGUAAUGGCUCACCAAGGCAACGAUCGGUAGCCGGCCUGAGAGGGCGGACGGCCACACUGGGACUGAGACACGGCCCAGACUCCUACGGGAGGCAGCAGUGGGGAAUUGUUCGCAAUGGGCGCAAGCCUGACGACGCAACGCCGCGUGGAGGAUGAAGGUCUUCGGAUUGUAAACUCCUGUUGCCUGGGACGAAUGGCUCCAACCUAAUACGUUGGAGUGUGACGGUACCAGGUGAGGAAGCCCCGGCUAACUCUGUGCCAGCAGCCGCGGUAAUACAGAGGGGGCAAGCGUUGUUCGGAAUUACUGGGCGUAAAGGGCGCGUAGGCGGCCUGUUAAGUCGAACGUGAAAUCCCCGGGCUCAACCCGGGAACUGCGUCCGAUACUGGCAGGCUUGAAUCCGGGAGAGGGAUGCGGAAUUCCAGGUGUAGCGGUGAAAUGCGUAGAUAUCUGGAGGAACACCCGGUGGCGAAGGCGGCAUCCUGGACCGGCAUU